UACGUAGGGGGCUAGCGUUGUCCGGAUUUAUUGGGCGUAAAGAGCGUGUAGGCGGCCAUGUAGGUCCGGUGUGAAAACUCGAGGCUUAACCUCGAGAUGUCAUCGGAAACCAUUUGGCUAGAGUCCGGAAGAGGAGAGUGGAAUUCCUGGUGUAGCGGUGAAAUGCGCAGAUAUCAGGAAGAACACCGAUGGCGAAGGCAGGUCUCUGGGCCAUAACUGACGCUGAGAAGCGAAAGCGUGGGGAGCGAACAGG
rnacentral:rRNA from 1 species